rnacentral:rRNA from 1 species
ACAGGGAUUGCCUCAGUAACUGCGAGUGAAGCGGCAAAAGCUCAAAUUUGAAAUCUGGGGUGCUCGAGUUGUAAUUUGGAGAGGCAACUUCGGAGGGGGUCCUUGGAACAGGACGUCACAGAGGGUGAGAAUCCCGUGCUUGGCUGGCUGUCCUCCUUCAUGUGAAGUGUCUUCGACGAGUCGAGUUGUUUGGGAAUGCAGCUCAAAAUGGGUGGUAAACUCCAUCUAAGGCUAAAUACUGGCGAGAGACCGAUAGCGCACAAGUAGAGUGAUCGAAAGAUGAAAAGCACUUUGAAAAGAGAGUUAAACAGUACGUGAAAUUGUUGAAAGGGAAGCGCUUGAGACCAGACUCGGUGAUUGGUGAUCAGCCCGUGCACUUGCCUUUUUGGGCCAGCAUCAGUUGACGGCAGGAUAAAGGAAUGUGGCUCUCUCCCUGGGUGUAAUGCUGCCGCCGCGACUGAGGACCGCGCUUCGGUCUUCAGCGACCCGUCUUGAAACACGGACCAAGGAGUCUAACAUCUAUGCGAGUGUUCGGGUGUAAACCCCUGCGCGUAAUGAAAGUGAACGGAGGUGGGGUGCACCAUCGACCGAUCCUGAUGUCUUCGGAUGGAUUUGAGUAGGAGCAUAGCUGUUGGGACCCGAAAGAUGGUGAACUAUGCCUGAAUAGGGUGAAGCCAGAGGAAACUCUGGUGGAGGCUCGGUUCUGACGUGCAAAUCGAUCGUCAAAUUUGGGGCGAAAGACUAAUCG